rnacentral:rRNA from 1 species
AUUGAACGCUGGCGGCAGGCCUCACACAUGCAAGUCGAGCGGAGCGGCGGACGGGUGAGUAAUGCCUAGGAAUCUGCCUGGUAGUGGGGGAUAACGUCCGGAUACGGGCGCUAAUACCGCAUACUAUCAGAUGACCCUUGGUCGGAUUAGCUAGUUGGUGGGGUAAAGGCCUACCAAGGCGACGAUCCGUAACUGGUCUGAGAGUAUGAUAAGUCACACAGGAACGGAGAAACGGUCCAGAGUACAAAGGGAGGCAGCAGUGGGGAAUAUUGGACAAGGGGGGAAAGAGUGAGGCAGACAUGCCGCGUGGGUGAAGAAGGUAGGCGGAUAGGAAAGCACUUUAAGUUGGGAGGCGUUACCAACAGAAUAAGCACCGGCUAACUUGGUGCCAGCAGCCGCGGUAAUUC